ACUAACGAAAGCAUUCCUCUCUGUCCUAGUGCUGAAGUUUGCAUGUACACAGAGAAUGAAGUGCCUGCUUCUCCCUCCAGAGGCACAGAGCAGGUUGCACCUGGCUCUCAGUCAACAUUCCAGUGGAAUUGUCACCUUGGAUUGUGUUCCCAUGCACUUAUUACAGGGCAUUAAGGAAGGAGUGUCUGCAGUCUUCUAGAGCAAGCAAGCGGAAAGAGAAGCACAAGUGCUGGAGAAAUAAGGGAGAGAAUGGACCACAGGCAUUGCUCUUCCUGAGAAGCAUCUCCUAUCACUGCUGUUGGAGACCACAAUAGACUGCAUGAACCAUGGCUCUGACCCAGUUGGGUGUAAUUUACGUUCUUAUUUUCUUGUAUUCUUAACAGCUGAGUGUGUGCAAAGAGCUCAGGCACUGAUGUAGGUCCUGUCCUUUAAGUUAACGACAAAGUGCAAGUCCUGAUUGGCUGUGUUUAUCUGCUCUCUCCAGAGUUAAGGACUUGUUGCCUUCCCCCACUUUUUGUUCAGCCCUUGUGAACCUCCUAUCUUCUUUGGUUCUCAUUUCCUGACCUCCCUCCACCCAUCUUCACACCUCUGGGUUAUUGAGUAAGAACAGUUCUGUUCUCCAGUGCCAGGCACAGCACAGGACUAGCCUUUGGAAAUUACCCAUCUUGUUGGGCUGGUGUUCCUGGGUGGCAGAGUCAGAAGCAAGUUAAGGAAAAAGAAAACUUCGCAGAGAUGUGGCUCAGUAACACCUGAGGUGACUAAUUUCAGCACAAGUCAAGCUCCAUACCAUCGUGAUGAGGAAAGUGGUGCUCCAACAACUGAGCUUAUCUGUGACCAGAGAGGUGCAGAAACAUAGUUCUUGAAGACAGAAGUUAUAAUAUAUCUAGGGCUAAUUAGAGAAGUACUUUAAUUUCUUGAACCUGUGCUGAAGAGUGGACUCUUUCCCUUGCAUUUCAAAUUAUGUGAGAAAUAUCUGAAAGUUGACAAGAACAGCUCACUGGGUAUGACCACAGCAAUGCUGAAGGAGGAUGAGACUGUAUCAGGUGUUAGACAGCUCACAUGGAAGAGAAUAGCAACUAUGAAAGUGCAAGUGAGGUACAGAGAGCAGAAAACAGGAUGAGUCUCCAAGGACUGCUACUACCACAACAGCAAGGUUCUGAACGAACACCUUGAAAUUGGUUAUCUCAUGAAUACCUCACUGCCUUUUUACCUGUGUGUUGAUUUCCCAGAGAUUAUUGUUGGGAUCACUUUGAUAUUAAAAAUGAAAGCCUUGCAGCAUCAUGGCAACAUAUGUUAUCUGUGCCCUAAUAUUACGAGAUUAACAAAUGCAUCUGGGUGACUGUUUAAGGAUGACAAUUUGCCAGAGCACUGAGGGUAUAGAAAAAAAAUCAGUGGAGAAUAUAUGAUGAUAAGAAUAAAUAGAAUUCUUCAAGAAAAAUUUCUAAUAGAUAUCUUAACUAAGAUAAAUUAAUCUUAGCUUGUUUAAUCGGACAGGUGCUGUAGAAAAUGACAGUCCUUUAAAGGAGAUGGCCAAGUCGGAAAAGUGUCUUCUAUUAAUGUAUUAGUAGUAUCCACUAUCAAAGCAGACUAAGCUAAGACAGCCAUCUGUUGAUAUCAUAGUGUUUUUAUAGGCUGUUCUGCUUACAACCUAAAAACUAAAAAGCAAUAAAGAC
rnacentral:lncRNA from 7 species